UUGGAUGUAUCAGAAUGACACGUAUCCAGAGGUCACUAAUAUUCUAAAAAAGCAGAAGCUAAUAUACUUCAAUGACAAAAUCCAACCGGUUUCACUGGAUCUGAUCUGGGAGUUCUACGCCAAUGCACUACGGGUAACAUCUGAUGAGGAAGACCCCACAGGGAAUGCAUCGUUCGUUUCAUGGGUAAGGGGCAAAGUGAUCAAAU
rnacentral:lncRNA from 1 species